CCUACGGGCGGCAGCAGUGAGGAAUAUUGGUCAAUGGACGAAAGUCUGAACCAGCCAUGCCGCGUGCAGGAAGACGGCUCUAUGAGUUGUAAACUGCUUUUGUACGGGAGUAAACGCAGGUACGCGUAUCUGUCUGAAAGUAUCGUACGAAUAAGGAUCGGCUAACUCCGUGCCAGCAGCCGCGGUAAUACGGAGGAUUCGAGCGUUAUCCGGAUUUAUUGGGUUUAAAGGGUGCGUAGGCGGUCGGAUAAGUUAGUGGUGAAAUCCCGAGGCUCAACUGUGGAAUUGCCUUUGAUACUGGUCGUCUUGAGAGCAGUUGCGGUAGGCGGAAUGUAUGGUGUAGCGGUGAAAUGCUUAGAGAUCAUACAGAACCCCGAUUGCGAAGGCAGCUUACCAAGCUAUUACUGACGUUGAGGCACGAAAGCGUGGGGAUCAAACAGGAUUAGAUACCCGAGUAGUC
rnacentral:rRNA from 1 species